AUUCUCAGUCUUUAAUUUUUCAACAGUGAAAGCACGGUGUAAAGAACUGUGAAAAAGUCGCAAUGCUCUUUGCUCGUACUACUCAGUGAUCUCAGAUUAAGAAUUAGUUUCCUGUGAUCGGAACAUUCCCCAAAUAUUUUCUUUUGAAUGUUGACACUUUGCGUUUCUUUAGUGUGUCAAAUGUCAAAUGUCAAGCAAAAUAGCUCACUAAUAGCAGGCUGAGUCGGUGCAUUGGUGUUUUCCCAAAAUAACAAAAUUUAUACGAUACAAUUUGAUUUUGUUGCGUUAAAACGUUCGUACAAAUAAAAAUAAUGCUACAUAAGUGUUAUGUUGGUGGUUGUAAAUCAACAAAGCGAAACACACCGUGUGUUUUGUUUUCCUAAAAAUGAUUACCUCAGAAAUUUGUGGGUAUCCUUUAUAGCUCCUACAAAGCCUCACAUUAUUGCACUAUCAAAAGAACAACUGCUCAGAAAACGUGUUUGUGAAAAACAUUUCGACAAAUAUCAGCUGGAUGAAGAGGGCAAAAGAUUACGCUAUUCUUAUCCUUGUUUGUUCACGGAUGAAGAAAUAGCACUCGGUGAACCUUUUUUUGCUCCUGAAGCCGGGCAUGAUAUUCUAAGAGACCACAAUUACUGCAAAGAGCAGAAUGACGAUGAAGAUUUAACAGAUACUGCUAUGGUUGUUGGAAGAGCAGGUUAAGAUUUUAGUGAACACCCAACAUGUCCUAUGCGUUAAUUGGAUGUUAAAGAUGGAGUAGAAAAUAACCAUGACCAAUUAGAAUCUGAAUUAGAUGGCACCAUUAAUAUCACUGGAUGCACUUCAGUAUAUUUUUCAACUCCCCCCCCUUGGUUAAAGGGUUGAUAAAUAGGUUUCUAUUUAAAGAUGUAUAAUAUAAAUAUAAUAAGGCAAGGAAAGACAUUAUAUUUCUCUAUAUAGAAAGAAAUUUAAUUUGUGAAUCUCUUGGACAGCUAGUUGGAAAAUCCAGCUUCAUUGCCACCUCGCCAAAAUGAAAAACUCGUUGUAUAAAUCCCGAAAAAAAAUUAAAAAGAUAGUCUUUCUACAGAAGAUCAGCAUGAACUACAGCAAUAUUGAGACUUUGGGAUUGAAAUGUAAUGAUAUGCUUUGUUAUUAAUAAAGUGAUUUUGUAGACUAGACCUGGAAUCGAUGCUAGUUCAUGAAAAGAGGCAACUGCCAAAUUAAAUUUUGACAACCUUUUCGUGUAUCAAUUGCUACUAAGCAGAAGCAACCAAAGGAAAAUCAAUGAAAGCUGUUAAGGACAUUUUUGUUGUACCUUUGCAGGCUUUUAACCUUUAAAAUUAAGUAAAAAGCUUUAAAUAAAUGUUUACACUGUC
rnacentral:misc_RNA from 1 species